rnacentral:sRNA from 1 species
ACACGAGGAAGGAGGUGGUCUGAAGUUGAAUUCUUGGACACGUGAGGUGACCAUCAGCUAACGACCGUUUCGGUGGAUUGGCCCGAUCGGGAUCGCACAUCGGUUGCGUCCCAGCGCUCGUCAGCUGAAUCCACAAUGGUCACCGGACCCCCGCACCUCGGCCUUGUCCAGGCCGAGAGCCCGCUGAGAAGUGGGUGGUGCGGGGGUCUAUCCAU